AACUUAGGGUUCUAUUAGUGAAUUUUUCAUUUACACUGAAAAGGAUCCUGUGCAAUUCAGGAUUGGUUGAU
rnacentral:tRNA from 1 species